CAACAUUAGAGGACAUGUGCCAUGACUCCUGGAGCUUUCCUGUGGAACCCAAACAGUGAGGCGGAAGCCAAUUCCGUACAGACUAAACUUAUGCUUGAAAACGAGAAAUGCUGUGGGUUGGUGGCAAAAAAGACAUUAAUGGAAAGUUUGUAUUUAAAAUUGGCAAUACUGGAUUUGUAUUGGAUCAGGUACCAUUUGGAGUAAAUGCGGCAACAAAUGCAGGACUACAGACUUUUAUUAAUACUGAUGGUGAAUGUUUAGUCCUUUUCAUGUUACAACA